rnacentral:rRNA from 1 species
UACGGAGGAGGCAAGCGUUAUCCGGAAUUAUUGGGCGUAAAGCGUCCGCAGGUGGCAAAUCACGUCUGCCGUCAAAGACCGGGGCUUAACCCUGGAAAGGCGGUGGAAACUGAAUUGCUAGAGUGUCGUAGGGGUAGAGGGAAUUCCCGGUGUAGCGGUGAAAUGCGUAGAGCUCGGGAAGAACAUCGGUGGCGAAAGCGCUCUACUGGACGACAACUGACACUCAGGGACGAAAGCUAGGGGAGCGAAUGGG